ACAGGUACUAAUACUACAAACAGGAAGGUACUAAUACUACAAACAGGAAGGUACUAAUACUACAAACAGGUACUAAUACUACAAACAGGUACUAAUACUACAAACAGGAAGGUACUAAUACUACAAACAGGAAGGUACUAAUACUACAAACAGGUACUAAUACUUCAAACAGGUACUAAUACUACAAACAGGAAGGUACUAAUACUUCAAACAGGUACUAAUACUUCAAACAGGAAGGUACUAAUACUUCAAACAGGUACUAAUACUUCAAACAGGAAGGUACUAAUACUACAAACAGGAAGGUACUAAUACUACAAACAGGAAGGUACUAAUACUUCAAACAGGAAGGUACUAAUACUACAAACAGGAAGGUACUAAUACUUCAAACAGGAAGGUACUAAUACUACAAACAGGAAGGUACUAAUACUACAAACAGGAAGGUACUAAUACUACAAACAGGUACUAAUACUUCAAACAGGAAGGUACUAAUACUACAAACAGGUACUAAUACUACAAACAGGUACUAAUACUUCAAACAGGUACUAAUACUACAAACAGGAAGGUACUAAUACUACAAACAGGAAGGUACUAAUACUACAAACAGGAAGGUACUAAUACUACAAACAGGAAGGUACUAAUACUACAAACAGGAAGGUACUAAUACUACAAACAGGUACUAAUACUUCAAACAGGAAGGUACUAAUACUACAAACAGGUACUAAUACUACAAACAGGAAGGUACUAAUACUACAAACAGGUACUAAUACUACAAACAGGUACUAAUACUACAAACAGGUACUAAUACUACAAACAGGAAGGUACUAAUACUACAAACAGGUACUAAUACUUCAAACAGGAAGGUACUAAUACUACAAACAGGUACUAAUACUUCAAACAGGAAGGUACUAAUACUACAAACAGGUACUAAUACUACAAACAGGAAGGUACUAAUACUACAAACAGGUACUAAUACUUCAAACAGGAAGGUACUAAUACUUCAAACAGGAAGGUACUAAUACUACAAACAGGUACUAAUACUACAAACAGGAAGGUACUAAUACUUCAAACAGGAAGGUACUAAUACUACAAACAGGUACUAAUACUUCAAACACGUACUAAUACUACAAACAGGUACUAAUACUUCAAACAGGAAGGUACUAAUACUACAAACAGGAAGGUACUAAUACUACAAACAGGAAGGUACUAAUACUACAAACAGGUACUAAUACUACAAACAGGUACUAAUACUACAAACAGGAAGGUACUAAUACUACAAACAGGAAGGUACUAAAACUACAAACAGGUACUAUUACUACAAACAGGUACUAAUACUACAAACAGGAAGGUACUAUUACUACAAACAGGUACUAAUACUACAAACAGGAAGGUACUAUUACUACAAACAGGAAGGUACUAAUACUACAAACAGGAAGGUACUAAUACUACAAACAGGAAGGUACUAAUACUACAAACAGGAAGGUACUAAUACUACAAACAGGUACUAAUACUACAAACAGGAAGGUACUAAUACUACAAACAGGAAGGUACUAAUACUACAAACAGGUACUAAUACUUCAAACAGGUACUAAUACUACAAACAGGAAGGUACUAAUACUUCAAACAGGUACUAAUACUUCAAACAGGAAGGUACUAAUACUUCAAACAGGUACUAAUACUUCAAACAGGAAGGUACUAAUACUACAAACAGGUACUAAUACUUCAAACAGGUACUAAUACUUCAAACAGGAAGGUACUAAUACUUCAAACAGGUACUAAUACUACAAACAGGAAGGUACUAAUACUACAAACAGGAAGGUACUAAUACUACAAACAGGAAGGUACUAAUACUUCAAACAGGAAGGUACUAAUACUACAAACAGGAAGGUACUAAUACUUCAAACAGGAAGGUACUAAUACUACAAACAGGAAGGUACUAAUACUUCAAACAGGAAGGUACUAAUACUACAAACAGGAAGGUACUAAUACUACAAACAGGAAGGUACUAAUACUACAAACAGGUACUAAUACUUCAAACAGGAAGGUACUAAUACUACAAACAGGUACUAAUACUACAAACAGGAAGGUACUAAUACUACAAACAGGUACUAAUACUACAAACAGGUACUAAUACGACAAACAGGUACUAAUACUACAAACAGGUACUAAUACUACAAACAGGAAGGUACUAAUACUACAAACAGGUACUAAUACUUCAAACAGGAAGGUACUAAUACUACAAACAGGUACUAAUACUUCAAACAGGAAGGUACUAAUACUACAAACAGGUACUAAUACUACAAACAGGAAGGUACUAAUACUACAAACAGGUACUAAUACUUCAAACAGGAAGGUACUAAUACUUCAAACAGGAAGGUACUAAUACUUCAAACAGGAAGGUACUAAUACUACAAACAGGUACUAAUACUACAAACAGGAAGGUACUAAUACUUCAAACAGGAAGGUACUAAUACUUCAAACAGGAAGGUACUAAUACUACAAACAGGUACUAAUACUACAAACAGGUACUAAUACUUCAAACAGGAAGGUACUAAUACUACAAACAGGAAGGUACUAAUACUACAAACAGGAAGGUACUAAUACUACAAACAGGUACUAAUACUACAAACAGGUACUAAUACUACAAACAGGUACUAAUACUACAAACAGGAAGGUACUAAUACUACAAACAGGAAGGUACUAAUACUACAAACAGGAAGGUACUAAUACUACAAACAGGAAGGUACUAAUACUACAAACAGGUACUAAUACUACAAACAGGAAGGUACUAAUACUACAAACAGGUACUAAUACUACAAACAGGUACUAAUACUACAAACAGGAAGGUACUAAAACUACAAACAGGUACUAAUACUACAAACAGGAAGGUACUAUUACUACAAACAGGUACUAUUACUACAAACAGGUACUAAUACUACAAACAGGAAGGUACUAUUACUACAAACAGGAAGGUACUAUUACUACAAACAGGUACUAAUACUACAAACAGGAAGGUACUAAUACUACAAACAGGUACUAAUACUACAAACAGGUACUAAUACUACAAACAGGUACUAAUACUUCAAACAGGUACUAAUACUACAAACAGGUACUAAUACUUCAAACAGGUACUAAUACUUCAAACAGGAAGGUACUAAUACUACAAACAGGUACUAAUACUACAAACAGGAAGGUACUAAUACUACAAACAGGUACUAAUACUUCAAACAGGAAGGUACUAAUACGACAAACAGGUACUAAUACGACAAACAGGUACUAAUACUACAAACAGGAAGGUACUAAUACUACAAACAGGUACUAAUACUUCAAACAGGAAGGUACUAAUACUACAAACAGGUACUAAUACUACAAACAGGAAGGUACUAAUACUACAAACAGGUACUAAUACUUCAAACAGGAAGGUACUAAUACUUCAAACAGGAAGGUACUAAUACUACAAACAGGUACUAAUACUACAAACAGGAAGGUACUAAUACUACAAACAGGAAGGUACUAAUACUACAAACAGGAAGGUACUAAAACUACAAACAGGAAGGUACUAAAACUACAAACAGGAAGGUACUAAUACUACAAACAGGUACAAAUACUUCAAACAGGAAGGUACUAAUACUACAAACAGGUACUAAUACUACAAACAGGUACUAAUACUACAAACAGGAAGGUACUAAUACUACAAACAGGAAGGUACUAAAACUACAAACAGGUACUAUUACUACAAACAGGUACUAAUACUACAAACAGGAAGGUACUAUUACUACAAACAGGUACUAAUACUACAAACAGGAAGGUACUAAUACUACAAACAGGUACUAAUACUACAAACAGGAAGGUACUAUUACUACAAACAGGUACUAAUACUACAAACAGGAAGGUACUAUUACUACAAACAGGAAGGUACUAAUACUACAAACAGGAAGGUACUAAUACUACAAACAGGAAGGUACUAAUACUACAAACAGGUACUAAUACUUCAAACAGGAAGGUACUAAUACUACAAACAGGUACUAAUACUACAAACAGGAAGGUACUAAUACUACAAACAGGAAGGUACUAAUACUACAAACAGGAAGGUACUAAAACUACAAACAGGUACUAAUACUUCAAACAGGAAGGUACUAAUACUUCAAACAGGUACUAAUACUACAAACAGGAAGGUACUAAUACUACAAACAGGUACAAAUACUUCAAACAGGAAGGUACUAAUACUACAAACAGGUACUAAUACUUCAAACACGUACUAAUACUACAAACAGGUACUAAUACUUCAAACGGGAAGGUACUAAUACUACAAACAGGAAGGUACUAAUACUACAAACAGGUACUAAUACUUCAAACACGUACUAAUACUACAAACAGGUACUAAUACUACAAACAGGAAGGUACUAAUACUACAAACAGGAAGGUACUAAUACUACAAACAGGUACUAAUACUACAAACAGGUACUAAUACUACAAACAGGAAGGUACUAAUACUACAAACAGGAAGGUACUAAUACUACAAACAGGAAGGUACUAAUACUACAAACAGGUACUAAUACUACAAACAGGAAGGUACUAAUACUACAAACAGGUACUAAUACUACAAACAGGUACUAAUACUACAAACAGGUACUAAUACUACAAACAGGAAGGUACUAAAACUACAAACAGGUACUAAUACUACAAACAGGAAGGUACUAUUACUACAAACAGGUACUAUUACUACAAACAGGUACUAAUACUACAAACAGGAAGGUACUAUUACUACAAACAGGAAGGUACUAUUACUACAAACAGGUACUAAUACUACAAACAGGAAGGUACUAAUACUACAAACAGGUACUAAUACUUCAAACAGGAAGGUACUAAUACUACAAACAGGUACUAAUACUUCAAACAGGAAGGUACUAAUACUUCAAACAGGAAGGUACUAAUACUACAAACAGGUACUAAUACUACAAACAGGAAGGUACUAAUACUACAAACAGGAAGGUACUAAUACUACAAACAGGAAGGUACUAAUACUACAAACAGGUACUAAUACUACAAACAGGAAGGUACUAAAACUACAAACAGGUACUAAUACUACAAACAGGUACUAAUACUACAAACAGGAAGGUACUAAUACUACAAACAGGUACUAAUACUACAAACAGGAAGGUACUAAUACUACAAACAGGUACUAAUACUACAAACAGGAAGGUACUAUUACUACAAACAGGUACUAUUACUACAAACAGCAAGGUACUAAUACUACAAACAGGAAGGUACUAAAACUACAAACAGGAAGGUACUAAAACUACAAACAGGAAGGUACUAAUACUACAAACAGGUACAAAUACUUCAAACAGGAAGGUACUAAUACUACAAACAGGUACUAAUACUUCAAACAGGUACUAAUACUACAAACAGGUACUAAUACUACAAACAGGUACUAAUACUACAAACAGGUACUAAUACUACAAACAGGAAGGUACUAAAACUACAAACAGGUACUAAUACUACAAACAGGUACUAAUACUACAAACAGGAAGGUACUAAUACUACAAACAGGAAGGUACUAAUACUACAAACAGGAAGGUACUAAUACUACAAACAGGUACUAAUACUACAAACAGGUACUAAUACUACAAACAGGUACUAAUACUACAAACAGGAAGGUACUAAUACUACAAACAGGAAGGUACUAAUACUACAAACAGGAAGGUACUAUUACUACAAACAGGUACUAUUACUACAAACAGGAAGGUACUAAUACUACAAACAGGAAGGUACUAAAACUACAAACAGGAAGGUACUAAAACUACAAACAGGAAGGUACUAAUACUACAAACAGGUACAAAUACUUCAAACAGGAAGGUACUAAUACUACAAACAGGUACUAAUACUACAAACAGGUACUAAUACUACAAACAGGAAGGUACUAAUACUACAAACAGGAAGGUACUAAAACUACAAACAGGUACUAAUACUACAAACAGGUACUAAUACUACAAACAGGAAGGUACUAAUACUACAAACAGGUACUAAUACUACAAACAGGAAGGUACUAAUACUACAAACAGGUACUAAUACUACAAACAGGAAGGUACUAUUACUACAAACAGGUACUAUUACUACAAACAGGAAGGUACUAAUACUACAAACAGGAAGGUACUAAAACUACAAACAGGAAGGUACUAAAACUACAAACAGGAAGGUACUAAUACUACAAACAGGUACAAAUACUUCAAACAGGAAGGUACUAAUACUUCAAACAGGUACUAAUACUACAAACAGGUACUAAUACUACAAACAGGUACUAAUACUACAAACAGGAAGGUACUAAUACUACAAACAGGUACUAAUACUACAAACAGGAAGGUACUAAAACUACAAACAGGUACUAAUACUACAAACAGGUACUAAUACUACAAACAGGUACUAAUACUACAAACAGGUACUAAUACUACAAACAGGAAGGUACUAAUACUACAAACAGGUACUAAUACUACAAACAGGAAGGUACUAUUACUACAAACAGGUACUAAUACUACAAACAGGAAGGUACUAUUACUACAAACAGGAAGGUACUAUUACUACAAACAGGUACUAAUACUACAAACAGGAAGGUACUAUUACUACAAACAGGAAGGUACUAUUACUACAAACAGGUACUAAUACUACAAACAGGAAGGUACUAAUACUACAAACAGGUAC